rnacentral:rRNA from 1 species
GACGAACGCUGGCGGCGUGCUUAACACAUGCAAGUCGAACGGAGAAUUUUAUUUCGGUGAAAUUCUUAGUGGCGAACGGGUGAGUAACGCGUAGACAACCUACCUCUCAGAUGGGGACAACAUCGCGAAAGCGGUGCUAAUACCGAAUGAUGUAACUUUUCUGCAUGGAAGAGUUACCAAAGGCGGCCUCUAUUUAUAAGCUGUCACUGAGAGAUGGGUCUGCGUCUGAUUAGCUAGUUGGCGGGGUAAUGGCCCACCAAGGCGACGAUCAGUAGCCGGUCUGAGAGGAUGAACGGCCACAUUGGGACUGAGACACGGCCCAAACUCCUACGGGAGGCAGCAGUGGGGAAUCUUCCGCAAUGGACGAAAGUCUGACGGAGCAACGCCGCGUGAGUGAAGGAGGUUUUCGGAGCGUAAAGCUCUGUUGUUUGAGACGAACGUGCAAUUUUUGAAUAAGGAAUUGUAAUGACGGUAUUAAACGAGAAAGCCACGGCUAACUACGUGCCAGCCGCCGCGGUAAGAC